rnacentral:tmRNA from 1 species
GUGCUUAUGCAGUACGAAUAUUCAGGCAUCAUCCAAUCAUAAGAUCGUGCGGGAGGCUCGCCCAAGGCCAAACCACUAAACAGUAUUGGGACAGCCUGUGAGCAGCCUGUCAGUUGGCGGCAAUCGGGUUAAACAAACGACUGACUAAACAUGUAGUAGCCUUCAGAUGGAGGAUUUGCGGACGCGGGUUCAAUUCCCGCCGCCUCCACCA